UUACGCUGUUAUCCCUAAGGUAAUUUAAUCUUAUAAUCAAAAUAAAUGGAUCAUUUAAAUAUAAAUAAAUAUAUCACCAACAAAGAGGAGUUUAUUAUAUCCUCUAAUCACCCCAACCAAACCAGAAAAUAAUUCAUCUUCAUAAAUCAACAAACAUAAACAAUUAUAUACCGGUAAAACUCUAUAGGGUCUUCUCGUCCCAUACAAACAUUUAAGUGUUUUAACUUAAAAACCAAAUUCAAUAACAUUUUAAAGGGACAGUAUGUGCCUCGUCAAACCAUUCAUUCCAGCCCUCAAUUAAAAGACUAAUGAUUAUGCUACCUUUGCACGGUCAAUAUACCGCGGCCCUUCAAAAACUCCAGCGGGCAGGUAAUACUUCAAAUUAAUUCCAAGAAGAGAUGUUUUUGAUAAACAGGCG
rnacentral:rRNA from 1 species